rnacentral:lncRNA from 1 species
CCUAAUUCAGAUCCUCCUUUCUUCUCCAACAACUUGGACCAAUCCACUCAUCCGUGUCUAUCGAUCUUACUCAUAACUUUUCCACAAAGAGAAAGAAGAGAGUUUCUAAGAAAUUUAUUUUUACAGUUUUUAAUCUAAUUGUUUUCUUUUUUUUUCUUAGUUUUAUUUUAUCUAAUUUACUAGUUUUACUUCAAUAUUAGAACGUAUGGCACCUUAGUGCUCUAUUUUAGUAGAACUGA